rnacentral:lncRNA from 1 species
UACAGCAAAUCGAAUUAUUUUGAGGGUGGAUAUAUUUUCCUUGGGGACACACACUAUCUCUCUUCUCCCUGUCCCCUAGGUGAGGGACCAGUCCAAUAACCCCUGAGGGGUAUAUUCCCACCAACAGCUCCAGGAGCACCAGUGGCAGCAGCAGGUCAGGCACGGUGGAGAGGCCCAUGCCAGACAGCUAUGGCCUCUCACUCCCCCAUUUGGGCUCAGGGCAGUGUGGCAGCGGCAGUGCUGGGGCUUCCCGGGACUCGGUCUGUCCAGGACGUCCCAAGUGCCUUGGGGUGACAGUUGAGGGUUGAGACUCGGGCAUAGAGAUCACGGCCUGGUCCCAGUGAUCUUGAACCCCAAAGGCCAGAACUGGAGCCUCAGUCCAGAGAAUUCUGAGAAAAUUAAAGCAGAGAG